CGACCUCGCCCACCAUCCAGCCCCUUGAUGCAUCCACGGCCCAGAAAGGCAGCGUGAAGAGCAGGAGCAGGUCGGCCAUAGCCAGGAAUUAUCAGGAGUGGAGUGCUCAGGUCAUGUAGUCAGGAGUCACUGCUUCAUAUUCCAGAGCGGAGCCCUUCAGAAAAACAGGAGGUGGGUCAUCUUGGGUCAUUAGAGCAGCUGCAUCAGUAGAAGUGGAGGCCGUGAGAAGCAGGAAACCCUGCAGACACAACAGGACCAGGAGCAUACUUUUGUCCAUGGCUGAUGAACUGAGGAGUUUGGUUUCGCUAUGAAACACACAGGAACCGGGACACGCUGCACCGAUUCACCGGCCACCUACUGUGCCAACACCGCAUGCAGCUGCACUUCUCCACCUUUGAAACGGAGGAAAAUGAUUUUAAAACAGCCUCCUGGAGACUCCUUGUGACUUUGGAUUCUGCUUUUUGGCACUGGUUCACACAAUUCAAACGAGGAGUAACCGGGCUGUGCCAGUGGUUUCCCCUCAUUGUGAACCGGUGGUCGUCGUUUCAGGCAGCGAAGACGACAGACUCAGAGGUCGCUGACUGAGCCGCACGUCUGCCAGCGAUGGGUCGGAAGUUGGAUCUGUCAGGACUAAGAGAUGACGAGGCGGCGCAUGUGCUGCAGGUGGUGCAGAGGGACAUGAAGCUACGUUAGAGGGAG